GAUGAACGCUGGCGGCGUGCCUAAUACAUGCCAGUCGAGCGAACAGACGAGGAGCUUGCUCCUCUGACGUUAGCGGCGGACGGGUGAGUAACACGUGGAUAACCUACCUAUCAGACUGGGAUAACUUCGGGACACCGGAGCUAAUACCGGAUAAUAUAUUGAACCGCAUGGUUCAAUAGUGAAAGACGGUUUUGCUGUCACUUAUAGAUGGAUCCGCGCCGCAUUAGCUAGUUGGUAAGGUAACGGCUUACCAAGGCAACGAUGCGUAGCCGACCUGAGAGAGUGAUCGGCCACCCUGGAACUGAGACACGGUCCAGACUCCUACGGGAGGCAGCAGUAGGGAAUCUUCCGCAGUAGGCGAAAGCCUGACGGAGCAACGCCGCGUGAGUGAUGAAGGUCUUCGGAUCGUAAAACUCUGUUAUUAGGGAAGAACAAAUGUGUAAGUAACUAUGCACGUCUUGACGGUACCUAAUCAGAAAGCCACGGCUAACUACGUG
rnacentral:rRNA from 1 species